UACGUAGGGAGCAAGCGUUGUCCGGAAUCAUUGGGCGUAAAGCGCGCGUAGGCGGCCCCGUAAGUCCGCUGUGAAAGUCAAAGGCUCAACCUUUGAAAGCCGGUGGAUACUGUGGGGCUAGAGUACGGAAGAGGCGAGUGGAAUUCCUGGUGUAGCGGUGGAAUGCGCAGAUAUCUGGAAGAACACCGGUGGCGAAGGCGGUCAACUGGCCCUGAACUGACGCUCAGGCACGAAAGCGUGGGGAUCAAACAGG
rnacentral:rRNA from 1 species